UCUCUUCUUUUCUCCAAACUGAAGACCCAGAGGGAGCCUGAUAUCGUAGAUUAGAAAGACAACCUUAGAACCAAAAAGAAUGUUUGUUUAAAAUUAGGAUCAAGAGUAGCAUCUACUUCCCGUAUCCUGGUAGAAGAAGACUUGGAACAGGACUGGAUCUGGGAAAGGAAGUGCUGACAUCUGCUUCCCCAUGACUGGACCACCCAUGAUCUCUGCUCCUGCUUCAGUGAUUGGGAUCCUCUUACUCUUUGGAGGCACAUAUGGAGAUUCAGUGACCCAGCCAGAAGGACACAUCACCCUCCCUGAGGGAGCUCUACUCACACUGAACUGUUCCUAUCAAGCUAGUGUAACACCUUAUCUCUUCUGGUAUGUCCAGUAUCCCAAUGAAGCUCCCAAGCUCCUCCUGAGAGAGACAUCAGGAAAAGACCAGGAGAAAGACAACAAUGGAUUUUGGGCCAAAAAUAUUAAGGAAAAAUCUUUCUUCUACCUGGAGAAAACUUCAGUCCAAAUGGGAGAUUCUGCUGUGUACUAUUGUGCUCUGACUGGAGAAGUAAUUGGCAAACCACUCUGGUAUCUCUGA